rnacentral:rRNA from 1 species
AUGGUGGUACUUCUCCGGAGGGUGCAACGGUCGCCGGUCAUCUUCGUUUUGUUGAUCUGUCAUUGUUGGCAUUUGUUUCUCUUACUUUUUUCUUUGUUUUUCUUUUGGCUUGUUUGUGCUGCGACCCCAGCACCUAUCGUUGGAUGUAUCGGUGGUUGUUUUGUAAUACAAAGAGGGGGGGAACCCUUUUUCGUCAAGGACCAAAGCAAAAGAGGUGGCGCUCUCUUGCAUGUGAAGGAGGUGGAGAUCAUCACGGUGGGCUUGAGCAAGGUGUCUUUAGAAAAAGGCCUUGGUUCGAGAAGAUGCGAAAGGAGAUGCUCGAGCAAGAUGGUUUAUCUAUGGCCGAGAGCGCCAUCUUUUUUGUAUGCCGACAUGACCACGACUGAGAUGUAUGGCAUGGUUGAACUACCGCCAUCUUUGUGUGCUAGCAAGUGUGUCGUAGCUAGCAAUUGUGCCGACAUGAAUUGUUGUGUUUUUAUAGGCUAG